GGCUCAAUGGUCUAGUCGUAGGAUUCUCGCUUCGGGACUUCAUUCUGAAAGAAGAAUGCGAGAGGUCCCGGGUUCAAUUCCCGGUUGAGCCC